CACGUAGGGCGCAAGCGUUGUCCGGAAUUAUUGGGCGUAAAGAGCUCGUAGGCGGUCUGUUGCGUCUGCUGUGAAAACUCGGGGCUUAACCCCGAGCCUGCAGUGGAUACGGGCAGGCUAGAGUUCGGUAGGGGAGACUGGAAUUCCUGGUGUAGCGGUGAAAUGCGCAGAUAUCAGGAGGAAGACCGGUGGCGAAGGCGGGUCUCUGGGCCGAUACUGACGCUGAGGAGCGAAAGCGUGGGGAGCGAACAGG
rnacentral:rRNA from 1 species